AGUUUUGUAGUCAAUAAUGAUUUUAAAUUGCAAAUUUAAAGGUAAACAAAGUUUCAAAACUU
rnacentral:tRNA from 1 species